rfam:Gossypium raimondii Chr10_contig_51, whole genome shotgun sequence.
UGUUGAAAUUUUUAUCUAUUUUUACUAUUAAAAACUGGCAUAGGUGAUAGGAUAAUCAUAUAAUUACAUGUGGCAUGCCACAUGUAACUUAUUAUGACGUACAACGACUAAUUUUUAACUAUAGAAAUAAAUAAAAUUUUUAUCG